rnacentral:rRNA from 1 species
GGAAAAAGCGGAGCCGUAGCGAAAGCGAGUCUGAAUAGGGCGCAUAAGUAACAGGUCGUAGACCCGAAACCAGGUGAUCUACCCAUGUCCAGGAUGAAGGUAAGGUAAUACUUACUGGAGGUCCGAACCCACGCACGUUGAAAAGUGCGGGGAUGAGGUGUGGGUAGCGGAGAAAUUCCAAUCGAACUUGGAGAUAGCUGGUUCUCUCCGAAAUAGCUUUAGGGCUAGCCUCGAGGUAAAGAGUCAUGGAGGUAGAGCACUGUUUGGACUAGGGGCCCUUCUCGGGUUACCGAAUUCAGAUAAACUCCGAAUGCCAUGUACUUAUACUCGGGAGUCAGACUGCGAGUGAUAAGAUCCGUAGUCGAAAGGGAAACAGCCCAGACCACCAGUUAAGGUCCCCAAAUAUAUGUUAAGUGGAAAAGGAUGUGGGGUUGCUUAGACAACCAGGAUGUUGGCUUAGAAGCAGCCACCAUUGAAAGAGUGCGUAAUAGCUCACUGGUCGAGUGACCCCGCGCCGAAAAUGUACCGGGGCUAAACAUAUUACCGAAACUGUGGAUGAACCUCUUUAGAGGUUCGUGGUAGGAGAGCGUUCUAAGGGCGGUGAAGUCAGACCGGAAGGACUGGUGGAGCGCUUAGAAGUGAGAAUGCCGGUAUGAGUAGCGAAAGAAGGGUGAGAAUCCCUUCCACCGAAUAUCUAAGGUUUCCUGAGGAAGGCUCGUCCGCUC